rnacentral:rRNA from 1 species
GUGCCAGCAGCCGCGGUAAGACGAACCGUGCGAACGUUAUUCGGAAUCACUGGGCUUAAAGCGCGUGUAGGCGGGUGGGAACGUCGGCUUCUGAAAGCCCCCGGCUCAACCGGGGAAGUGGAACCGAAACGGCCCGCCUGGAGGGACGUAGGGGGACCUGGAACUUCCGGUGGAGCGGUGAAAUGCGUUGAGAUCGGAAGGAACGCCCGUGGCGAAAGCGAGGUCCUGGACGUCUGCUGACGCUGAGACGCGAAAGCUAGGGGAGCGAACGGGAUUAGAUACCCCGGUAGUCCUAGCCGUAAACGAUGGGCACUGGGUAGGGGGCUCGCCGAUGGGCUCCCUGCCGUAGCGAAAGCGUGAAGUGCCCCGCCUGGGGAGUAUGGUCGCAAGGCUGAA